UUUUAUAAUAGUAUUCGUCGGCGCUAGGGCAAAACCAACUAUGCGAACCAGAAUGCGCUAGGGCAAAACCGACUGGCCUCUUAUAAGCAUCGCGUGCUCUUUCUUCAUCGAUCUCAUCUCCUCCCGUCUACCUCAUUCUCAAAAGCACUCCGGUUUCCAACCUGAAUGCUAUAUCAUCCAACAAAUUGUUCUUCUUUUUUGAUUAGUUAUUCGAAGCUUACAGCGUUGUUGAGGUUAUUAAACUAGAUUUUUCUUGAUCUGCAACUUGGAAUCAUCUGUAAUUCCAUUCCAAAGAAAGCUCGGAUUUUUUCCAUUCCAGCAGAUUGUCUCGCCAUCUGUGUCUGAUCAGAGCUUAUAUUCCUGCUCAGGACUUUAUUAAAAGUAACCAGAUUUUUCGAUUAGCUAUUCGAACCUCCGCGGUGGCAUGCCUCUUUCCUGAGUUUUUCUAUAUGAAGAGAAAUUCUCCAGUUGUCUUUCCUUCUUUUCUGCUGUACCUUUACAAUUUUCUGCGAGCAAAUGAAUGAAAAGUUCUGCACUGCCCUAUUCUUAGAUCUAAUAUAUUUUGGCCGUUAUUGAUGUGCUGCUCCCUCCCCCCGGCCCUCUUCCUAGUACAGUUCGCUCAGUGCAUGCACUUACAAUUGUAUUUCCUGGAUUGCUGAUGUUGCUGAGAAUCUGGGUUAUCUAUAUGUAAUUUGGAGAUGAGGUUUUCAGUUGUUGCAAGGAACAGAAAGGUUAUUUGGAAGUGUGGUAGGAGCUUUAAUUGCUCAUAGGGCUUAACUUCUAUAUGUACUCUUUUUUUCUUUGUUGCUUCAAUUUUAAAAAGUACCAUUUUCCCCUUGAAAUUAUUUACAUUCAAAACUUCUAUAUGUACUUUUUUCUUUGUAAAACAAAUAUUUACCCAUCUGUUACAAUCUAGUAUGGGUGUUUUAUAAAUGCAUAUUUUAAAA